UACGUAGGGUGCAAGCGUUAAUCGGAAUUACUGGGCGUAAAGCGUGCGCAGGCGGUUUUGUAAGUCUGUCGUGAAAUCCCCGGGCUCAACCUGGGAAUUGCGAUGGAGACUGCAAGGCUAGAAUCUGGCAGAGGGGGGGUAGAAUUCCACGUGUAGCAGUGAAAUGCGUAGAGAUGUGGAGGAACACCGAUGGCGAAGGCAGCCCCCUGGGUCAAGAUUGACGCUCAUGCA
rnacentral:rRNA from 1 species